GAUGAACGCUGGCGGCGUGCCUAAUACAUGCAAGUCGAGCGAACGGACGAGAAGCUUGCUUCUCUGAUGUUAGCGGCGGACGGGUGAGUAACACGUGGAUAACCUACCUAUAAGACUGGGAUAACUUCGGGAAACCGGAGCUAAUACCGGAUAAUAUUUUGAACCGCAUGGUUCAAAAGUGAAAGACGGUCUUGCUGUCACUUAUAGAUGGAUCCGCGCUGCAUUAGCUAGUUGGUAAGGUAACGGCUUACCAAGGCAACGAUGCAUAGCCGACCUGAGAGGGUGAUCGGCCACACUGGAACUGAGACACGGCCCAGACUCCUACGGGAGGCAGCAGUAGGGAAUCUUCCGCAAUGGGCGAAAGCCUGACGGAGCAACGCCGCGUGAGUGAUGAAGGUCUUCGGAUCGUAAAACUCUGUUAUUAGGGAAGAACAUAUGUGUAAGUAACUGUGCACAUCUUGACGGUACCUAAUCAGAAAGCCACGGCUAACUACGUGCCAGCAGCCGCGGUAAUACGUAGGUGGCAAGCGUUAUCCGGAAUUAUUGGGCGUAAAGCGCGCGUAGGCGGUUUUUUAAGUCUGAUGUGAAAGCCCACGGCUCAACCGUGGAGGGUCAUUGGAAACUGGAAAACUUGAGUGCAGAAGAGGAAAGUGGAAUUCCAUGUGUAGCGGUGAAAUGCGCAGAGAUAUGGAGGAACACCAGUGGCGAAGGCGACUUUCUGGUCUGUAACUGACGCUGAUGUGCGAAAGCGUGGGGAUCAAACAGGAUUAGAUACCCUGGUAGUCCACGCCGUAAACGAUGAGUGCUAAGUGUUAGGGGGUUUCCGCCCCUUAGUGCUGCAGCUAACGCAUUAAGCACUCCGCCUGGGGAGUACGACCGCAAGGUUGAAACUCAAAGGAAUUGACGGGGACCCGCACAAGCGGUGGAGCAUGUGGUUUAAUUCGAAGCAACGCGAAGAACCUUACCAAAUCUUGACAUCCUUUGACAACUCUAGAGAUAGAGCCUUCCCCUUCGGGGGACAAAGUGACAGGUGGUGCAUGGUUGUCGUCAGCUCGUGUCGUGAGAUGUUGGGUUAAGUCCCGCAACGAGCGCAACCCUUAAGCUUAGUUGCCAUCAUUAAGUUGGGCACUCUAAGUUGACUGCCGGUGACAAACCGGAGGAAGGUGGGGAUGACGUCAAAUCAUCAUGCCCCUUAUGAUUUGGGCUACACACGUGCUACAAUGGACAAUACAAAGGGCAGCGAAACCGCGAGGUCAAGCAAAUCCCAUAAAGUUGUUCUCAGUUCGGAUUGUAGUCUGCAACUCGACUACAUGAAGCUGGAAUCGCUAGUAAUCGUAGAUCAGCAUGCUACGGUGAAUACGUUCCCGGGUCU
rnacentral:rRNA from 1 species